rnacentral:rRNA from 1 species
CCUACGGGAGGCAGCAGUGAGGAAUAUUGGUCAAUGGCCGAGAGGCUGAACCAGCCAAGUCGCGUGAGGGAAGAAGGUUCUACGUAUUGUAAACCUCUUUUGUCAGGGAGCAAAGCGCGGGACGUGUCCCUCAUUGAAUGUACCCUAAGAAAAAGCAUCGGCUAACUCCGUGCCAGCAGCCGCGGUAAUACGGAGGAUGCGAGCGUUAUCCGGAUUUAUUGGGUUUAAAGGGUGCGUAGGCGGGCAUCUAAGUCAGCGGGGAAAGCCGGUGGCCUAACCAUGGAACUGCCGUUGAAACUGGCGGGCUUGAGUGGGUGAGAAGUAUGCGGAAUGCGUGGUGUAGCGGUGAAAUGCAUAGAUAUCACGCAGAACUCCGAUUGCGAAGGCAGCAUACCGGACCCUAACUGACGCUGAAGCACGAAAGCGUGGGUAUCGAACAGGAUUAGAUACCCCUGUAGUC